rnacentral:lncRNA from 1 species
AAAACAACAACGAGCUUUUCUCUCCUCUCUGGGGAUCCUGGUCAGCUUCACAUUGGUGGCCCAGAAAUCAGUCUCAGCCCCUCCCAGUAUGGACCGCUCCUUGACAGCCGCCCUCUCUCCUAUAAAGGCAGAUGCAAGCUACGUUUGUGUGGGGAUGACACAGCACAAAGGCCCUUGCCAGAUGUGAGCCCCUUGAUAUUGGAUUUCCCAGUCUUCAGAACUGUCGAAAAGCCCAGGAAUGUUCUAGAAUAUAUGAUUGGCGAGGACCCUCACUGGUGCCAUCCACAUCUUCUCUUCAGGACUGGGAACGUUGGCAGCUGAUGAUCCUCUGGGAAGUUCC